UUAAUAGAAGCCAAAAAGAGGCAUGUCACUGUUAAUGACAUUAAUGAAAAAUUUUUUUCCUAUUAAG
rnacentral:tRNA from 1 species